rnacentral:tRNA from 1 species
GGGACCUGUACGCUCCCAGUGUAGCGGUCCAGCGGACUUUUAAUCCGUGGGUUCAGGGUUCGAGUCCCUGUGGGCCCA